UACGGUAGGGUGCAAGCGUUGUCCGGAAUUAUUGGGCGUAAAGAGCUCGUAGGCGGUCUGUCGCGUCUGCUGUGAAAACUCAGGGCUUAACCCUGAGCUUGCAGUGGGUACGGGCAGACUAGAGGUGCGGUAGGGGAGACUGGAAUUCCUGGUGUAGCGGUGAAAUGACGCAGAUAUCAGGAGGAACACCGGUGGCGGAAGGCGGGUCGCUGGGCCGU
rnacentral:rRNA from 1 species